rnacentral:rRNA from 1 species
GAUUAUCCUACUUGGAUAACUGUGGCAAUUCUAGAGCUAAUACACGCAAGAAAGCUCCGACCUUACGGGAAGAGCGCAUUUAUUAGACCAAAACCAAUCGGGCUUCGGCCUGAGCUGUGGUGACUCUGAAUAACUAAGCUGAUCGCACGGUCUUAGUACCGGCGACGCAUCUUUCAAGUGUCUGCCUUAUCAACUUUCGAUGGUAGUUUAUGUGCCUACCAUGGUUGUAACGGGUAACGGAGAAUAAGGGUUCGACUCCGGAGAGGGAGCCUGAGAAACGGCUACCACAUCCAAGGAAGGCAGCAGGCGCGCAAAUUACCCACUCUCGGCACGAGGAGGUAGUGACGAAAAAUAACGAGGCAGUGUUAAGAGGCCGCAUGGAAG